rnacentral:lncRNA from 1 species
UUUGCUUUCUUGGAUUUGAUAACCAUGAUUGUAGCAUACGGGUUUCGUGAAGAAUUUCAAUUGCAGUGCCAAUGAUAUCUUGAAAGAAGCUACAUUAAUAUAUUUAAGUUUGAAGGGCAUGUUAAACAUGUAGAAGAUUACAGUUUAUGAAGAGGCUGACUUAGCUGCGCACACUUCUAGAAGCGACGCUAUUACGACAUCUUCCGCGAGUUCUACGUAUUUGAUAAGAACGAAGUUGACAGUUGUUGUACCGACGUGACACAAGGAUCGACUUUUAAAGAAUCUUCAAGAUGGUGUGAAGAGACAUGCUCUUUCAGCCCUUAAUGGAUAUGGUAUCAAGAGACAUGCUCUUUCAACCCUCAUUGGAGGUACAUUGAUAGCAAAGGAAGAAGAAACUUCAAAAGCUGAAGAAUCGGUGAAGAAUGAAACAAUGUGCUCAACAUGCGAUAACUUUAAGACUGACAAUGACAAACUUGUGAGAGACAUAGAAAGUUUGGCAUUUGAAGUCAAAAAGUUGAAAGACGAGAAGCACGUUGCUGAAAACCAGAUUCUUUCUCUGGAAAAAGAUUGUGAAAAGUUGAAAGCAGAAAAUGACAAACUGUUGAUUGAUUUUAACAGUUUGACUUUGAAAAAUCAAGAAUUUGAGGGGCAAGUGAAAAUUCUUGAAGAUGAGAAAAGUGUGUUUAGUAAAAACAACAUUGAAAAACAAAAGAUGAUAAAUUCCCAUCUUCAGAAAAUUGUCGAACUUGAAAAAGAAGGUGAAAGCGCUCAAAAGAGAAUCAAAGAGUUAGAAAAAGAGCUUGAAAGCAAAAAGAAAUCGUCAGAAGAUGAGGAUUUCUGGAUAAAGCUUGAAAACAAGAAUCUAAAAGCAAAUGAAUCAAAAUUUCAGGAACAGAUCAAAAUUUUGAUAAAUGAAAAGUCUGUUCUUGAAAGUUUGAAGGUUGAGAAUGACAAUUCCAUCAAGUCUCAUCUUGAGAGAAUAUCUCAGCUUGAGGAAGAAGCUAAGAAUUCCAGGACCAAGAUAGAUAAACUUGAGAAGAAAUUGAUCAGUUUUGCGACUAAAUCUGACAAGUUGAAUAUUCCUUGUCCAAAACCGAUCAAUUCAGUUCCAAUAAGUGACAAUGUCACAAACUUUGACACUGUCAAAGUUGAAGAUUGUGAUGAGACACCUGAUGAUGAAAAUGUUAAAAAAGAAAAACAAAAAUUGUUUUUAAAUUUGAAAGAAAAAUUUCAGAAAACUGUUCUGCAAUCAACUGAAAAAGGUGAAUGCUCUAAGCAAAAGUCUUUGAAGAAGAAAGCAGAACAGAAACAAAAAGAUAAUAAAAGUUCAUCGGGUCGAUCAUCCAAUC